rnacentral:rRNA from 1 species
AGAGUUUGAUCAUGGCUCAGAUUGAACGCUGGCGGCAGGCCUAACACAUGCAAGUCGAACGGUAACAGGAAGCAGCUUGCUGCUUCGCUGACGAGUGGCGGACGGGUGAGUAAUGUCUGGGAAGCUGCCUGAUGGAGGGGGAUAACUACUGGAAACGGUAGCUAAUACCGCAUAAUGUCGCAAGACCAAAGAGGGGGACCUUCGGGCCUCUUGCCAUCGGAUGUGCCCAGAUGGGAUUAGCUUGUUGGUGGGGUAACGGCUCACCAAGGCGACGAUCCCUAGCUGGUCUGAGAGGAUGACCAGCCACACUGGAACUGAGACACGGUCCAGACUCCUACGGGAGGCAGCAGUGGGGAAUAUUGCACAAUGGGCGCAAGCCUGAUGCAGCCAUGCCGCGUGUAUGAAGAAGGCCUUCGGGUUGUAAAGUACUUUCAGCGGGGAGGAAGGGAGUAAAGUUAAUACCUUUGCUCAUUGACGUUACCCGCAGAAGAAGCACCGGCUAACUCCGUGCCAGCAGCCGCGGUAAUACGGAGGGUGCAAGCGUUAAUCGGAAUUACUGGGCGUAAAGCGCACGCAGGCGGUUUGUUAAGUCAGAUGUGAAAUCCCCGGGCUCAACCUGGGAACUGCAUCUGAUACUGGCAAGCUUGAGUCUCGUAGAGGGGGGUAGAAUUCCAGGUGUAGCGGUGAAAUGCGUAGAGAUCUGGAGGAAUACCGGUGGCGAAGGCGGCCCCCCUGGACGAAGACUGACGCUCAGGUGCGAAAGCGUGGGGAGCAAACAGGAUUAGAUACCCUGGUAGUCCACGCCGUAAACGAUGUCGACUUGGAGGUUGUGCCCUUGAGGCGUGGCUUCCGGAGCUAACGCGUUAAGUCGACCGCCUGGGGAGUACGGCCGCAAGGUUAAAACUCAAAUGAAUUGACGGGGGCCCGCACAAGCGGUGGAGCAUGUGGUUUAAUUCGAUGCAACGCGAAGAACCUUACCUGGUCUUGACAUCCACGGAAGUUUUCAGAGAUGAGAAUGUGCCUUCGGGAACCGUGAGACAGGUGCUGCAUGGCUGUCGUCAGCUCGUGUUGUGAAAUGUUGGGUUAAGUCCCGCAACGAGCGCAACCCUUAUCCUUUGUUGCCAGCGGUCCGGCCGGGAACUCAAAGGAGACUGCCAGUGAUAAACUGGAGGAAGGUGGGGAUGACGUCAAGUCAUCAUGGCCCUUACGACCAGGGCUACACACGUGCUACAAUGGCGCAUACAAAGAGAAGCGACCUCGCGAGAGCAAGCGGACCUCAUAAAGUGCGUCGUAGUCCGGAUUGGAGUCUGCAACUCGACUCCAUGAAGUCGGAAUCGCUAGUAAUCGUGGAUCAGAAUGCCACGGUGAAUACGUUCCCGGGCCUUGUACACACCGCCCGUCACACCAUGGGAGUGGGUUGCAAAAGAAGUAGGUAGCUUAACCUUCGGGAGGGCGCUUACCACUUUGUGAUUCAUGACUGGGGUGAAGUCGUAACAAGGUAACCGUAGGGGAACCUGCGGUUGGAUCACCU